AGCAGAUUACUUAGCUAAUUAUGUAUUGGACACAAAUAACUGUAGUUAUGAACAUUUUCAGAUGUUGGAGUCAACAGGCAGGAGAAUAAUCAAUAGUGACAAAUUACAAAGCCCAUAUUUAUGAGUAUCGUCCACAAAGGAAUAAUGGGGUAAGAGAGGCUAUGGGAUAUGGUUUUUUCACAACAAGUAAAUUUACAAAUACCUCUAGGGCAGCAAAAGAGUGAAAUCCUAUCUAGCCUAGGCUAUAUCAACCUUCAAAAAGGACUUGGCAAAAUGGAAGGGGCUAAGGUCGAUUCAGAAAUUAAAAACCUGACUGGUGAUUACAUUACUAUAGAGCGAAAGUGUGAAGCUUCCCAUGCACUCCACGACAAUUUCACCUGCAAAAGUCAAAUGGUUAGUCAAGAUUUCUGGAUAAGGAAGGUAUCAAAGGUGAGUACGCACCAAGUGAUGAGAUCCACCAGUCCAAGACGAGCACCUUCAGCAAAACAAAGGAGACAUGACCAUCUACCCGAGAACACAGCUACAGAUUACACAAGUAAGGAAGAGAAUCAAAAUUACAUAAGGGAGAAAGGAGAUGAAAAGAUGGAUGGAAAUAAAAGUUGGUACUUACUCUCGAAAGCUGAAGAGACAGAUGUUGAAUGAGGCAAUGAAAUUGUGUUGAUAAUCCAUAGCAGCAGGCGAAAAAGAUUAAAGUUCACUACUAUAGGCAACAUUGGUCAGGUGGCGGGGAUUUUAGGAAACAAG
rnacentral:lncRNA from 1 species